rnacentral:tRNA from 1 species
GCCCGGAUGGCGGAAUUGGUAGACGCGCUGGUCUCAAACACCAGUAUGGUUAAACAUGUAUCGGUUCGACUCCGAUUCCGGGCAC